UACAGAGGUCUCAAGCGUUGUUCGGAUUCAUUGGGCGUAAAGGGUGCGUAGGUGGCGCGGUAAGUCGGAUGUGAAAUCUCGGGGCUCAACCCCGAAACUGCAUUCAAUACUGCCCUGCUCGAGUACUGGAGAGGAGAUCGGAAUUUACGGUGUAGCAGUGAAAUGCGUAGAUAUCGUAAGGAAGACCAGUGGCGAAGGCGGAUCUCUGGACAGCUCCUGACGCUGAGGCGCGAAGGCUAGGGGAGCAAACGGG
rnacentral:rRNA from 1 species